rnacentral:lncRNA from 1 species
AUCUAAGAAACCCUAGCAGAUGCUCCAAACCCUAAUUUACAAGCACCUAAGCACUAUUUUCUUAAUAUCUCAAGAACCCAAUAUUCAAAUGUCAUUAAACUUAUGUUCAAAGUUUAUUAACAUGAAAUUACACAUUUUUUGAAAUUUUGAGCCAAAAUCUUAUCAAAUUGCUCAAGAUAUAGCUCAAGACACAACUACUAGUAAAUCGGGUCACUUACUACCCUUAGA